AGCGAACGCUGGCGGCAGGCUUAACACAUGCAAGUCGAACGGGCAUCUUCGGAUGUCAGUGGCAGACGGGUGAGUAACACGUGGGAACGUACCCUUCGGUUCGGAAUAACUCAGGGAAACUUGAGCUAAUACCGGAUACGCCCUUUUGGGGAAAGGUUUACUGCCGAAGGAUCGGCCCGCGUCUGAUUAGCUUGUUGGUGGGGUAACGGCCUACCAAGGCGACGAUCAGUAGCUGGUCUGAGGAUGAUCAGCCACACUGGGACUGAGACACGGCCCAGACUCCUACGGGAGGCAGCAGUGGGGAAUAUUGGACAAUGGGCGCAAGCCUGAUCCAGCCAUGCCGCGUGAGUGAUGAAGGCCUUAGGGUUGUAAAGCUCUUUUGUCCGGGACGAUAAUGACGGUACCGGAAGAAUAAGCCCCGGCUAACUUCGUG
rnacentral:rRNA from 1 species